ACCCCCGGGACCCCCGGCCUGGGCAGCGCCCCACAGCCGGGGGAGGAGGAGGAGGAGAGCAGCGAGGAGGAAGAGGAGGAGGCCAUGGAGUGCGGGACGCCCCCUCCCCCCUCGGACGCCUGGACCGUGGUGCGGCGGCGGCGGCGGCGCUGAUGGGGGGAGGGGUGUCCUGUGUGUCCCCUCCCCCACCCUGCUCCCCAAACUGGGGGGAAUAAACGCCCCUCCCCCCACGGGGGUGUGGGAACAGA